rnacentral:rRNA from 1 species
CCCUUAGAUGUUCUGGGCCGCACGCGCGCUACACUGACGAUGGUAACGAGUUUUUCCUUCGCCGAAAGGUGUGGGUAAUCUUUUGAAACAUCGUCGUGCUGGGGAUAGAUCAUUGCAAUUUUUGAUCUUGAACGAGGAAUUCCUAGUAAGCGCGAGUCAUCAGCUCGCGUUGAUUACGUCCCUGCCCUUUGUACACACCGCCCGUCGCUACUACCGAUUGAAUGGUUUAGUGAGGACUCCUGAUUGGCGCCGCCGCCCCGGCAACGGAGCAGCGGACUGCCGAAAAGUUGUUCAAACUUGAUCAUUUAGAGGAAGUAAAAGUCGUAACA